CAGGAGUGAAGCAUCUGUGUGGUUUCCUGGAGAGUCCAGGAUGUGGACUUGAAGCUCUGAGAUUGAAGGAGUGUGGUUUGUCAGAGAUCAGCUGUGAUUAUCUGGCAACAGCACUGAAGUCCAACCCCUGCCAUCUGAGACUGCUGGACCUGAGCUUCAACAACAAGCUGCAGGAUUCAGGAGUGAAGCAUCUGUGUGGUUUUCUGGAGAGUCCAGGAUGUGGACUUGAAACUCUGGGAUUGUGGGGCUGUGGUUUGUCAGAGAUCAGCUGUGAUUAUCUGGCAGCAGCACUGAAGUCCAACCCCUCCCAUCUGAGAGAGCUGGAGCUGUGGGACAACAACCUGAAGGAUCCAGAUGUGAAGCAGCUGUCUGAUCUUCAGCAGAGUCCAGACUACAGACUGGAGAAACUGGUGUGGAGGAAAUGAUGGUAAACAGGACGGUGUGUGUGCUGAGAGAGGAGGAGCUGUGUCCUGA